GUAGGUUAGGCCGAGUAGGAGACGAAAGCUGAGCACAAUGAGGAAGGAGGGCGCGACCUUCGGCCGUAGCGCCGUGAAUACGCACCCCGCGCAGACGUGCGGACGCUUCUUGCAUGGCCGUUGGCUUCGGCGUUCAACGCGGUUUCAUGCACGAUCUGCAAGCGGCUACCCGAACGCCACUGAAAGCCGUGCGGGUGCCUCCAUGAACUCCGAGGAGC
rnacentral:sRNA from 12 species